AAAAAAUCGAAAAAAUGUCUUCAGAAAGGGCAAAUCGCCAUCAAAGGAGGCCAUCUCAGAGCUUCAAUUUUGUUUUGCCGGAGAACAUUUCGUUAGCUGAUCCAGUGGACGGCGAUUCCGACAAUGGCGCCGGUGCCGGCGAGCAAAAUAAGGUUGUUACGCCGCCGCCUGCAAAUUCGAAAUCUGGACUCGGCCGUACUGCUAGCGGAGUUUCAUUGCCGCCGCUGCCGGUGGAGAUGUCGUCGGAGAAGGAGGGAACGUCACGACGUCAAGGAUGAACCUAAGAAAUUUUUUUUAUGAAAUUGAUUUUUUUUAGUUAAUUACUUUGUUUUUUUUGUUUUUUUUGCUUUGUGAUCAGUUGAUA
rnacentral:misc_RNA from 1 species